rnacentral:rRNA from 1 species
CAGCAGCCGCGGGAAUACGGAGGGUGCAAGCGUUAAUCGGAAUUACUGGGCGUAAAGCGUGCGUAGGCGGUUCGUUAAGUCUGUUGUGAAAGCCCCGGGCUCAACCUGGGAAUGGCAAUGGAUACUGGCGAGCUAGAGUGUGUCAGAGGAUGGUGGAAUUCCCGGUGUAGCGGUGAAAUGCGUAGAGAUCGGGAGGAACAUCAGUGGCGAAGGCGGCCAUCUGGGACAACACUGACGCUGAGGCACGAAAGCGUGGGGAGCAAACAGGAUUAGAUACCCCUGUGUCCCUGUCUCUUAUACC